ACAAUCUGGAGAGAAUAGGCAUGACGGGAAAGACAAGGGAAAGACAGAAGAAAAUCAUUUGGGAACCACUUAAACAGAAAAGAAUCAGCGUGAUUACUUCACAGGAUCAAGGACAACAAAAGGCCCUUCUCUCCCCUUGCAGAAAAGGCUAAGCAUUGUGCACAUAGCCGUGGAUACCGCACCACCACUCAUCUACUGCAUGCAGCAUCUUAGGUUGCGGUACCAGAUAAAACGGCAGAGGCAGG